GCCCCUGUAGCUCAGUUUGGUAGAGCACGUCCUUGGUAAGGACGAGGCCAGCGGUUCAAAACCGCUCGGGGGCU
rnacentral:tRNA from 1 species